CAGUAGCCGCGGUAAUACGUAGGUCCCGAGCGUUGUCCGGAUUUAUUGGGCGUAAAGCGAGCGCAGGCGGUUAGAUAAGUCUGAAGUUAAAGGCUGUGGCUUAACCAUAGUACGCUUUGGAAACUGUUUAGCUUGAGUGCAAGAGGGGAGAGUGGCAUUCCAUGUGUAGCGGUGAAAUGCGUAGAUAUAUGGAGGAACACCGGUGGCGAGAGCGGCUCUCUGGCUUGUAACUGACGCUGAGGCUCGAAAGCGUGGGGAGCAAACAGGAUUAGAUACCCCAGUAGUCCCUGUCUCUUAUACC
rnacentral:rRNA from 1 species